UAAGGAAUAUUGGUCAAUGGACGCAAGUCUGAACCAGCCAUGCCGCGUGGAGGAUGAAGGUCCUCUGGAUUGUAAACUUCUUUUAUCUGGGAAGAAAUGCAUUUUUUCUAAAGUGUUUGACGGUACCAGAUGAAUAAGCACCGGCUAACUCCGUGCCAGCAGCCGCGGUAAUACGGAGGGUGCAAGCGUUAUCCGGAUUCACUGGGUUUAAAGGGUGCGUAGGUGGGCAGUUAAGUCAGUGGUGAAAUCUCCGGGCUCAACCCGGAAACUGCCAUUGAUACUAUCUGUCUUGAAUAUCGUGGAGGUAAGCGGAAUAUGUCAUGUAGCGGUGAAAUGCUUAGAUAUGACAUAGAACACCAAUUGCGAAGGCAGCUUACUACCCGAAUAUUGACACUGAGGCACGAAAGCGUGGGGAUCAAACAGG
rnacentral:rRNA from 1 species